rnacentral:rRNA from 1 species
CCUACGGGAGGCAGCAGUGGGGAAUAUUGCACAAUGGGCGAAAGCCUGACGCAGCGACGCCGCGUGAGGGAUGAAGGUCUUCGGAUCGUAAACCUCUGUCAGCAGGGAAGAACGGUCACUGUGCUAAUCAGCAGUGAAUUGACGGUACCUGCAAAGGAAGCACCGGCUAACUCCGUGCCAGCAGCCGCGGUAAUACGGAGGGUGCGAGCGUUAAUCGGAAUUACUGGGCGUAAAGCGCUCGUAGGCGGUAUGUCAAGUCAAGGGUGAAAUCCCCGCGCUCAACGUGGGAAUUGCCUGUGAAACUGGUCAACUGGAGUGUGUGAGAGGAUAGUGGAAUUCCAGGUGUAGGAGUGAAAUGCGUAGAUAUGUGGAGGAACAUCAGUGGCGAAGGCGACUAUCUGGCAAAUAACUGACGCUGAGGAGCGAAAGCGUGGGGAGCAAACAGGAUUAGAUACCCGAGUAGUC